rnacentral:rRNA from 1 species
AUCGGUAUCGAACGCGUGCACUUCUCCUCUAGUAGAACGUCGCGAUCCGUUGAGUGUCGGUCUACGGACCGAAGCGUAGCCCGAAAACGACGGUUUACCGUUGUUUUCGGACGCUCGUUAUCCGACCGACUCGCUCGACGGUAUGCCAAAGAUACUAGGUCGCAAAUUUAAUUUGCGUUCGAUUUUCGACAAGCUCGUAUAACGUAUCGAUGAUCGGACUUAUGCGCCGGUCGCGACGUUGUGCGGCUGUUAGUCGUAAUAUUCUCGAACAGACCUAGUCGAAAUAUCGAUCGGCGACGCUAUAGCUUUGGAUAAUUACAGGACCCGUCUUGAAACACGGACCAAGGAGUCUAGCAUGUGCGCGAGUCAUUGGGAUUUAUUACUAAACCUAAAGGCGAAAUGAAAGUAAAAAUUCGUUUUAAGCGAAUUUAGGGAAGAUAAAUGGAAACGUUUUGCGACGUUCCGUUUCGCAUUCCCGGGGCGUUUCGUUCUCAUUGCGAGAUGAGGCGCACCAAUAGCGUACACGCUGG